UAUGUUUGCUAGGGGUGCCCUUUGGGGCUGAGAUGAGGAAACUCGAUCCCUUUGAACCUGAUCUGGUUAAUACCAGCGGAGGAAAGCAAUAGUUUUACUUA
rfam:Desulfosporosinus sp. OT TOT.assembly.82, whole genome shotgun sequence.